rnacentral:rRNA from 1 species
GGGCCCGCACAAGCGGUGGAGCAUGUGGUUUAAUUCGAUGAUACGCGAGGAACCUUACCAGGGCUUAAAUGUGGUUUGACAGCUUUAGAGAUAGAGUUUUCUUCGGACAAAUCACAAGGUGCUGCAUGGUUGUCGUCAGCUCGUGCCGUGAGGUGUCAGGUUAAGUCCUAUAACGAGCGCAACCCCUGUUGUUAGUUGCCAGCGAGUAAUGUCGGGAACUCUAGCAAGACUGCCGGUGCAAACCGUGAGGAAGGUGGGGAUGACGUCAAAUCAUCACGGCCCUUACGUCCUGGGCUACACACGUGCUACAAUGGGCGGUACAGAGGGCAGCGAAGUCGCGAGGCCAAGCAAAUCCCUUAAAACCGUUCGUAGUCCGGAUUGGAGUCUGCAACUCGACUCCAUGAAGUCGGAAUCGCUAGUAAUCG